rnacentral:rRNA from 1 species
CCUACGGGACGCAGCAGUGAGGAAUAUUGGUCAAUGGGCGAGAGCCUGAACCAGCCAAUUCUCUUUCUUUCUUACUGCCCUAUGGGUUGUAAACCUCUUUUGUCGGGGAGCAAAAGCCGGACGUGUCCGGCUGUGAGAGUACCCGAAGAAAAAGCAUCGGCUAACUCCGUGCCAGCAGCCGCGGUAAUACGGAGGAUGCGAGCGUUAUCCGGAUUUAUUGGGUUUAAAGGGUGCGCAGGCGGAUUUUUAAGUCAGCGGUCAAAUCGUGGGGCUAAACCCCAUCCAGCC